rnacentral:rRNA from 1 species
GACAGAGGGUGCAAACGUUGUUCGGAAUUACUGGGCGUAAAGCGCGUGUAGGCGGCAAUACAAGUCGGAUGUGAAAUCCCGCGGCUUAACCGUGGAAGUGCACCCGAAACUGUAUCGCUAGAGUCCCGGAGAGGAUGGUGGAAUACUUGGUGUAGAGGUGAAAUUCGUAGAUAUCAAGUGGAACACCGGUGGCGAAGGCGGCCAUCUGGACGGUGACUGACGCUGAGACGCGAAAGCGUGGGUAGCAAAC